rnacentral:piRNA from 2 species
UGCAAGGUUACUUUUUAGGGUGUGU